rnacentral:lncRNA from 1 species
CUUAGACACUACAAAAAUGCCAAUUAGCAACAGCAUUAUCUUUUGCUCCUAUGGGAUUGUAGUAUGGUUGCAUCAAAUCUAUCUACUCGAUUUUGUGAUUGGCUUAAAUGUCUCUCUUGUUCCUCAAUACUUAGCUAAAACCUACUCCUCGUAGUACCACCAAUAUUUCAAACUAGCUCUACAGCUAGCUAUUCGGUUUGAAAUGGAGCUGCUUAAAAUAAAUUUUUUUUUUUGAUAAAAUUUUGAUCGACCGUAUCUUUUAAUCCAAGA